CGUACGUGCAUGCACGACCAUCCCCUAGUAGUGAUGGUUGUGCCAUCUUGUCGGAACAGUGCGCAAACGGCUCUGCUAUCCCUUCCUCGAGAGCAAGCGCGGCCAUCCCCGCUCGCUAAAAGGCUCGCCCACGCAGAGCCCCUCUCUCGCACCCUGGCAUUUGGGACUAAGGUUCUUGCAUUUCUUCUACCCCUGCCUUGCUCUGCAGUCGCUGAGGUUGGAGUCGCGCGCGUGCGCCAUCCUCGUCCUCCAAGGAAAUCUUGAGUUGGCGAUGGGCUUGCAAGGAAGGGAGUGUUCCAGCUCUCUGUUGAUCUGGGCCUAACGACUAUAAUCUCAGCGUAAUCAGCUGUUAGUUCAGGUGAUCUGUUGUUGCUGCCUGUAGCUACGACCUUACUUCCUCCUUUCGUGCACAUCUAUGGGCUACUGUGAGGGUAAGACUUUUCCUCUAUUUGCUAUGGUUCUUGGCCAUUCCAAAGAUUACGUGCUUCAUUAUGAUUUCUUGUGAGCUCGUGAAAAUCUUGUUCAGUCUCUUUUUCCAUAUGCUUUUACUCGUGCUUGUGGGUUGCUUUUGGCGAAGUAGUUUACUUGUGUAAUUGUUUGAUUCUGUAUUAGUGUGUGUGCUGCUUGAUGCUGUGCAGUCUUAGGAUCUCACGGGUGGACCUUCAUAUGAGAGAGUUGUGCGUUGUCGUGAGAAGAGACAGAAAAGACAUCUUGCAACUGUACGAGGUUUGCCGUGUAGGCUAUCUGAGAGAUUUCUAUCCUCUGUUGGAAAGGGUUGUUUCUAUUUCGGUAUACUGAAUAUGUAUAUAGUUUGUUUGGC